rnacentral:rRNA from 1 species
AGCGAACGCUGGCGGCAGGCUUAACACAUGCAAGUCGAGCGGGCGUAGCAAUACGUCAGCGGCAGACGGUUGAGUAACGCGUGGGAACGUACCUUGUGGUUCGGAACAACACAGGGAAACUUGUGCUAAUACCGGAUAAGCCCUUACGGGGAAAGAUCUAUCGCCGAAAGAUCGGCCCGCGUCUGAUUAGCUAGUUGGUAGGGUAAUGGCCUACCAAGGCGACGACCAGUAGCUGGUCUGAGAGGACGAUCAGCCACAUUGGGACUGAGACACGGCCCAAACUCCUACGGGAGGCAGCAGUGGGGACUAUUGGACAAUGGGGGCGACCCUGAUCCAGCCAUGCCGCGUGAGUGAUGAAGGCCCUAGGGUUGUAAAGCUCUUUUGUGCGGGAAGAUAAUGACGGUACCGCAAGAAUAAGCCCCGGCUAACUUCGUGCCAGCCGCCGCGGUAA